AGUGAACGCUGGCGGCAUGCCUAACACAUGCAAGUCGAACGGUAACAGGCCCGCAAGGGUGCUGACGAGUGGCGGACGGGUGAGGAAUACAUCGGAAUUUGCCCAGUCGUGGGGGAUAACGUAGGGAAACUUACGCUAAUACCGCAUACGACCUAACGGUGAAAGCGGGGGAUCGCAAGACCUCGCGCGGAUGGAUAAGCCGAUGUCGGAUUAGCUAGUUGGCGGGGUAAAGGCCCACCAAGGCGACGAUCCGUAGCUGGUCUGAGAGGAUGAUCAGCCACACUGGGACUGAGACACGGCCCAGACUCCUACGGGAGGCAGCAGUGGGGAAUAUUGGACAAUGGGGCAACCCUGAUCCAGCAAUGCCGCGUGUGUGAAGAAGGCCU
rnacentral:rRNA from 1 species